AUCCUGCUGAUGAGUCCCAAAUAGGACGAAAUGCUCGUCGUGGAU
rfam:Schistosoma rodhaini strain Burundi genome assembly, scaffold: SROB_scaffold0009834